AGCACCCGAUAAACGAUAAGAUCGAAAAUCUUUUAACGGGAAUCUAAAAUAAUUUAUUCCGCCAACCUUUUAGCCAAAAUAAUCCACUUAAGCGUCUUUGAUCUAUUCAUUUCUCUCUGUUCUGGACAAAAUCUAAACAGUUCAUACUACUCAGCAACAAAACCCAAACAUCUGAGACUAUUCAUUUCCCUUUGUUCUAUCGAAUCCCAGCCAAAUUGCAAACCAAAGUCGAUUCCAAGCCUAGCCGAAACCACUAACCUUGUCACCAUUCAUAAAUUUGUGCUCCUCUGCAGACACAUUCUCUAGCGCAGCCGCCAGUGAGCUUAAAUCGAAGGUACUUUCCACGGUAGAGGCCCUUUCCCUUGUUUUUGGAGUGAAAAUAGAUAAUUUUGCCCCUCCAAACUUGAAGACACAAACCGCUUAACCGGUGUGUUGAGUUUGGUUUUCGAUUUGGGAACAAUGUAAACAUGUGGCAAACGAUGGGAUAAGGUAGAUAAAAAGAACGAAUGCGAUUCGUUAUUUAAAGACUAAGAUAAUGCAAAAUUUUGGCUGUCAAAUCGGAACAAUUGGAUGGGCGAGAUGAUGGCGAUGUAAACAAAUCACCUAACUUACGUACGGUCCGAUGGCUAGGUUUGAGUUGGAUUUCGAAGAGAAAGGAGUUGAAAAAGCUUGAGUUUUGGAUAACAAUCUCUUUCUAAGAGAAGAUGACAAUGGAGGGUUUUAUGGACGAGUAUUGUAUGAUUAUUUGUGGAGAGUGGUUGUGUUCUUCGGACGGAGAGUGGAGAGUGGAUAUAUAAUAGUCCACAUAUCGGGUUCAACUAGACCAAAAUAUUAGACCGAUUUCAAUUAUUUCAUACAAUAGAAUUAAACUGACAUGGACAAAAUAACUCAUAAUAACAAAAGAUACGAAGAAAUGAAGUAAACUU